CCCUUAGAUGUUCUGGGCCGCACGCGCGCUACACUGACUGCUCCAACAAGUUACCUGGGCUGACAAGCAUCCGGGAAAUCUUGCAAAGGCAGUCGUGAUGGGGAUAGAUUCUUGUAAUUUUUGAUCUUCAACGAGGAAUUCCUAGUAAACGCAAGUCAUCGGCUUGCAUUGAUUACGUCCCUGCCCUUUGUACACACCGCCCGUCGCAUCUACCGAUUGAAUGGAGAGGCAAAAUCUUCGGACCGUGACGCUUGGGAGUCAAAUCUCGGGCUGUCGUGGGAAGUGGAUUAAACCUUUCUAUUUAGAGGAAGGUAAAGUCGUAACA
rnacentral:rRNA from 1 species